rnacentral:rRNA from 1 species
GUGCCAGCCGCCGCGGUAAUACGGAGUGUGCAAGCGUUACUCGGAAUCACUGGGCAUAAAGGGCGUGUAGGCGGGCUUCCAAGUCGGUUGUGAAAUCCCUCAGCUCAACUGAGGAACUGCAUCCGAUACUGUUUGUCUUGAGGACGAGAGGGGAGAGUGGAACUUCUGGUGGAGCGGUGAAAUGCGUAGAUAUCAGAAGGAACGCCGGUGGCGAAAGCGACUCUCUGGCUCGUAACUGACGCUGAAACGCGAAAGCUUGGGUAGCAAACGGGAUUAGAUACCCUCGUAGUCC